CGGAGUCUGCUUCAUCAGGCAGUAACCCGUUGGGCAAGAGUACACUUGAUGGCUGUGACUCCGCAGUUCCAUACUCGCCCAUGCAAUCCACCAGCUAUAUUCAAACUUCAACGGAAAGCUCUAAAGAGCAGAACCCGUCAACGGUGAACGCAAAUAUUGCAACAGAUUGAUGCCGUGAUGAGAAAUGUUUAACUUCACAAUUCCGGAACCAAAA
rnacentral:lncRNA from 1 species